GACUGAGGCUUCAGCCAGUCGCAGGGUGGAGGCCUACAAGCCUCAUGCUCAUUGGCUGGACGGGCGAGAGGGGAGGGGCUGGUAGACAGCGGCGGUCCCCGAGGCCGCGGCCGGGGAGUCUGGGGGAGCUGGGCGCGGAGGACGUGGACCGCGGGCUCCGAGAGCAGCGUAGCGAUUAAGCGUGGCGCCUCCCUAACCCCGGUGGGCGCUGAGAGGAGUGAGGUUUUUGUCGUCUGUGUGGGCUGGGCACUUGGGUCCUCCCAGCAGCCUGGCGAGUAUUUUAACAAUCAGUCUCAUUUCCCGGCGAUCACUCGGAGAAGGAUGUGUACUCUGUACUCGGCUGUGCCUCUGCCCAGUCAGGCCAAGCGAACAGGGCGGGUGUGGCCAGCGCCAGACCCCUGCUCCAACGCGGGUCUCGCUGGAUGGGAGAGCGGCACUCGAGGGGACUGUGGCACCGAGCAGGGAUCUAUGGCUUUUGCCCCCAAGCCGUCCGCUUCCUUUCAAGGAGAUCCUGUCACCCUGCUGUUGGGCCUGGAGACCCAGGCCAAGAAAGUCAGCGCCGCGAUAAAAGAACAAUCUCCGUUUA